UACGUAGGGUGCGAGCGUUAAUCGGAAUUACUGGGCGUAAAGCGUGCGCAGGCGGUCUCGCAAGUCCGAUGUGAAAUCCCCGGGCUCAACCUGGGAACUGCGUUGGAAACUACGAGGCUGGAGUACGGCAGAGGGGGGUGGAAUUCCACGUGUAGCAGUGAAAUGCGUAGAUAUGUGGAGGAACACCGAUGGCGAAGGCAGCCCCCUGGGAUAGUACUGACGCUGAGACGCGAAAGCGUGGGGAGCGAACAGG
rnacentral:rRNA from 1 species